rnacentral:rRNA from 3 species
UUAAGGGUGCAGGGCGGAUGCCUUGGCACUAGGAGCCGAUGAAGGACGUGAUAAGCUGCGAUAAGCUUCGGGGAGUUGCACGUAAACUUUGAUCCGAAGAUUUCCGAAUGAGGAAACUCACUUAGAGUAAUGUCUAAGUAUCAUUAAGUGAAUACAUAGCUUAAUGAGGGGAACUCAGGGAACUGAAACAUCUAAGUACCUGAAGGAAGAGAAAGAAAUUCGAUUCCGUAAGUAGCGGCGAGCGAACGCGGAUUAGCCCAAACCAAUAAAGUUUUCUUUAUUGGGGUUGCGGACAUAUCAUAACGAAGAGGUAUCGUAAUUGAAGAGGUUUGGAAAGACCCACCACAGAAGGUAAUAGUCCUGUAUGUUAAACGAGAAGACUUCAGAUAUGAUCCAGAGUACCACGGGACACGUGAAACCCUGUGGGAAGCAGGAGGGACCACCCUCCAAGGCUAAAUACUACCUAGUGACCGAUAGCGUAUAGUACCGUGAGGGAAAGGUGAAAAGAACCCCGGGAGGGGAGUGAAAUAGAACCUGAAACCCUGCACUUACAAGCUGUGGAAGCACAUUUCUUGUGUGACCGCGUACUUUUUGUAGAACGGGCCAACGAGUUACGUUAAGUAGCAAGGUUAAGCACUUAAGGUGCGGAGCCGUAGCGAAAGCGAGUUUUAACUGAGCGUUCAGUUACUUGACGUAGACCCGAAACCGGGCGACCUACCCAUGAGCAGGAUGAAGCGAAAGUAAAAUUUCGUGGAGGUCCGAACCCACGAGCGUUGAAAAGCUCGGGGAUGACUUGUGGGUAGCGGUGAAAUUCCAAUCGAGCCCGGAGAUAGCUGGUUCUCCCCGAAAUAGCUUUAGGGCUAGCCUCAAGGUGAGAGAUACGGAGGUAGAGCACUGAAUGUCCUAGGGGGUAUUGCACCUACCGAAGACUAUCAAACUCCGAAUGCCGUCAUCUUAUACUUGGGAGUCAGACUGUGGGUGAUAAGAUUCAUAGUCGAAAGGGCAACAGCCCAGAUCGUCAGCUAAGGUCCCUAAAUGUAAGUUAAGUGGUAAAGGAUGUGGGAUUGCACAGACAACCAGGAUGUUGGCUUAGAAGCAGCCACUCAUUCAAAGAGUGCGUAAUAGCUCACUGGUCGAGUGAUCCUGCGCCGAAGAUUUCCGGGGCUAAAACUUACUACCGAAGCUACGGCAUCAGUAAUGAUGGGUAGGGGAGCUUCCCAUACGGGUUGAAGCAUGACCGUAAGGACAUGUGGACAGUAUGGGAGUGAGAAUGUUGGCAUGAGUAGCGAGAUGUGGGUGAGAAUCCCACAGGCCGUAAACCCAAGGUUUCCAGGGGAAGGUUCGUCCGCCCUGGGUUAGUCGGGACCUAAGCUGAGGCCGAAAGGCGUAGGUGAUGGACAACAGGUUGAUAUUCCUGUACUACCGAUAACCGUUUGAGAGAAGGGAUGACACAGUAGGAUAAGCUAAGCACACUGUUGGUUAUGUGUGCCCAAGCAUUGAGGCAGUCAAAGUAGGCAAAUCCGCUUUGAUAAUGCUGGGAUGUGAUGGGGAGCGAAAUUUAGUAGCGAAGUAGCUGAUUUCACACUGUCAAGAAAAGUCUCUAUCGAGGUUAAAGGUACCCGUACCGCAAACCGACACAGGUGGGUGAGGAGAGUAUCCUAAGGCCAGCGAGAGAACUGUUGUUAAGGAACUCGGCAAAAUGACCCCGUAACUUAGGGAUAAGGGGUGCCACCAUCAGGUGGCCGCAGAGAAUAGGCCCAAGCGACUGUUUACCAAAAACAUAGGUUUCUGCUAAGUCGCAAGACGAUGUAUAGGAGCUGACGCCUGCCCGGUGCUGGAAGGUUAAGGGGAUCUGUUAGAGCAAUCGAAGCAGUGAACUUAAGCCCCAGUAAACGGCGGCCGUAACUAUAACGGUCCUAAGGUAGCGAAAUUCCUUGUCGGGUAAGUUCCGACCCGCACGAAAGGCGUAACGAUUUGGGCACUGUCUCAACAACAGACUCGGUGAAAUUGUAAUUCCGGUGAAGAUGCCGGAUACCUGCGACAGGACGGAAAGACCCCAUGGAGCUUUACUGUAGCUUGACAUUGGGUCUUGGUACUACAUGUACAGGAUAGGUGGGAGGCUUUGAAACCAGGACGCCAGUUUUGGCGGAGCCAUCCUUGGGAUACCACCCUUGUAGUACUGGGACUCUAACCAUAGGCCAUGAAUCUGGUCUUGGGACACUGUCAGGUGGGCAGUUUGACUGGGGCGGUCGCCUCCCAAAAGGUAACGGAGGCGCUCAAAGGUUCUCUCAGUACGGUCGGAAAUCGUACGUAGAGUGUAAAGGCAAAAGAGAGCUUGAUUGCAAGACAUACAGGUCGAGCAAGGAUGAAAAUCGGACUUAGUGAUCCGGUGGUUCUGCGUGGAAGGGCCAUCGCUCAACGGAUAAAAGCUACCCUGGGGAUAACAGGCUUAUCUCCCCCAAGAGUCCACAUCGACGGGGAGGUUUGGCACCUCGAUGUCGGCUCAUCACAUCCUGGGGCUGUAGUAGGUCCCAAGGGUUGGGCUGUUCGCCCAUUAAAGUGGUACGCGAGCUGGGUUCAGAACGUCGUGAGACAGUUCGGUCCCUAUCCGUCGCAGGCGUAGGAAAUUUGAGAAGACCUGUCCUUAGUACGAGAGGACCGGGAUGGACGUACCUCUGGUGUACCAGUUGUCCUGCCAAGGGCAUGGCUGGGUAGCUAUGUACGGAAUGGAUAAGCGCUGAAAGCAUCUAAGCGCGAAGCCAACUUCAAGAUAAGAUUUCCCACCGCAAGGGUAAGACCCCAGAAAGACUAUCUGGUUGAUAGGUCGAAGGUGUAAGUGCAGCAAUGUAUUUAGCUUAUCGAUACUAAUAGGUCGAGGACUUGACCAA